GUGAAAGGGGAGCUUGCUUCCUGGAUCAGUGGCGAACGGGUGAGUAACACGUGAGCAAUCUGCCCCUGACUCUGGGAUAAGCGCUGGAAACGGCGUCUAAUACUGGAUAUGAGCUGCGACCGCAUGGUCAGCAGUUGGAAAGAAUUUCGGUCAGGGAUGAGCUCGCGGCCUAUCAGCUUGUUGGUGAGGUAAUGGCUCACCAAGGCGUCGACGGGUAGCCGGCCUGAGAGGGUGACCGGCCACACUGGGACUGAGACACGGCCCAGACUCCUACGGGAGGCAGCAGUGGGGAAUAUUGCACAAUGGGCGCAAGCCUGAUGCAGCAACGCCGCGUGAGGGACGACGGCCUUCGGGUUGUAAACCUCUUUUAGCAGGGAAGAAGCGAAAGUGACGGUACCUGCAGAAAAAGCACCGGCUAACUACGUGCCAGCAGCCGCGGUAAUACGUAGGGUGCAAGCGUUAUCCGGAAUUAUUGGGCGUAAAGAGCUCGUAGGCGGUUUGUCGCGUCUGCUGUGAAAUCUGGGGGCUCAACCCCCAGCCUGCAGUGGGUACGGGCAGACUAGAGUGCGGUAGGGGAGAUUGGAAUUCCUGGUGUAGCGGUGGAAUGCGCAGAUAUCAGGAGGAACACCGAUGGCGAAGGCAGAUCUCUGGGCCGUAACUGACGCUGAGGAGCGAAAGGGUGGGGAGCAAACAGGCUUAGAUACCCUGGUAGUCCACCCCGUAAACGUUGGGAACUAGUUGUGGGGUCCAUUCCACGGAUUCCGUGACGCAGCUAACGCAUUAAGUUCCCCGCCUGGGGAGUACGGCCGCAAGGCUAAAACUCAAAGGAAUUGACGGGGACCCGCACAAGCGGCGGAGCAUGCGGAUUAAUUCGAUGCAACGCGAAGAACCUUACCAAGGCUUGACAUAUAGAGGAAACGGCUGGAAACAGUCGCCCCGCAAGGUCUCUAUACAGGUGGUGCAUGGUUGUCGUCAGCUCGUGUCGUGAGAUGUUGGGUUAAGUCCCGCAACGAGCGCAACCCUCGUUCUAUGUUGCCAGCACGUAAUGGUGGGAACUCAUGGGAUACUGCCGGGGUCAACUCGGAGGAAAGGUGGGGGAUGACGUCAAAUCAUCAUGGCCC
rnacentral:rRNA from 1 species